CGGGACGGGCGAGUAAUGUCUGGGAAACUGCCUGAUGGAGGGGGAUAACUACUGGAAACGGUAGCUAAUACCGCAUAACGUCGCAAGACCAAAGAGGGGGACCUUCGGGCCUCUUGCCAUCGGAUGUGCCCAGAUGGGAUUAGCUAGUAGGUGGGGUAACGGCUCACCUAGGCGACGAUCCCUAGCUGGUCUGAGAGGAUGGCCAGCCACACUGGAACUGAGACACGGUCCAG
rnacentral:rRNA from 1 species